CAGCAGCCACGGUAAUACGGAGGGAGCUAGCGUUGUUCGGAAUUACUGGGCGUAAAGCGCACGUAGGCGGCUUUGUAAGUUAGAGGUGAAAGCCUGGAGCUCAACUCCAGAAUUGCCUUUAAGACUGCAUCGCUUGAAUCCAGGAGAGGUGAGUGGAAUUCCGAGUGUAGAGGUGAAAUUCGUAGAUAUUCGGAAGAACACCAGUGGCGAAGGCGGCUCACUGGACUGGUAUUGACGCUGAGGUGCGAAAGCGUGGGGAGCAAACAGGAUUAGAUACCCGCGUAGUCCCUGUCUCUUAUAC
rnacentral:rRNA from 1 species